CCGGCGGAGGCGCCCUGACAGCUCCCAUUGGCAGACCGCGAGCGGGUUCGAGCCUGGCCGGUAGAGCAGCGCCGCCGCCGUCGGGCGCGCUGCUCUGCAGCUCCGCGAACGCCUUGGCGCCCGCAGCCCCAGGGGCCCGGCGGCCCCGCAUCGUGCCCGGCCCCGUCGCGGAGAUCCCGGACGACCGUCGCGGGUGAGUACUGCGGGCCUGGGGGGCGCGAGCGUCCGGCCGGAGCCGCCCCCGGCGGACGGCGGCGAGGAUGCCCAGAGCCUCAGUGCCCGUGCCGGGCACGUUCUGACCCCCCAUCUCCCGCACACUGGGGCUCCCGGCGGGUCCUAGCUCCCCCCGAUCGGGCUUUCCACGUAUUGUUUUCGUGUUCAUACACUUGGGAGGUGGGGAGAUCCGGGGAGGGGAGGCAGGAGGAGGCAUCCCUCGCGCGAAGGAGGGAGACGAGACAGUGUAGCCCAGGUGCCCGGCGCCGGAUGGAAAUGACAGCGUCCGGACGUCGGUAUUCGGUCCUCUCGGCAGCAGGAGGUUGAUGGUCGCGUUCCAGAUGUAAACAGCUUCAGAAGCCUGACCGUCAUAUGACUUUACUUUUCAAGAACCAUAAUGAAGUUUUGAUUAAAAACUGUCAGUCUUUGGUCCCAUGGAUCAUGGCUGUCUUCUGGACUGAUACGAUGUUGCACCUCCUGGAAUCUUGUCUGGUGGCCUUCUUCCUGCUCAACA
rnacentral:lncRNA from 1 species